rnacentral:rRNA from 1 species
CAGCCGCCGCGGUAAGACGAACCGUGCGAACGUUGUUCGGAAUCACUGGGCUUAAAGGGCGCGUAGGCGGUUGAUCAAGUCUGGGGUGAAAUCUUUCGGCUUAACCGGAAAAGUGCCUUGGAUACUGGUCAGCUGGAGGGAGGUAGGGGCAGUUGGAACUUCCAGUGGAGCGGUGAAAUGCGUUGAUAUUGGAAGGAACGCCGGUGGCGAAAGCGAGCUGCUGGACCUCUUCUGACGCUGAUGCGCGAAAGCUAGGGGAGCAAACGGGAUUAGAUACCCCAGUAGUCCCUGUCUCUUAUAC